UAAGAGCAGUGGGAAUGGGAACAUGGAGGAAAGCCCAUCCUGUUGGUUUCCUCCUCCAGAAACCGAGGUGGAAGCUUGGUUCGGUGUUUCCCGAUGCCUCCCAUUCCUAUUGUUCUUA